rnacentral:piRNA from 1 species
UCGUGGAGGAGCUGGUAUUGGUGUUU